rnacentral:rRNA from 1 species
GGUGAGUAACACGUGGGUAACCUGCCCUAUAGNGNGUNNUAUNANNCGGAAACGCGUGCUAAUACCGGAUAACACAUCAGGGUGCAUGCUUUGGUGUUGAAAGAUGGUUCUGCUAUCACUAUAGGAUGGGCCCGCGGCGCAUUAGCUUGUUGGUGGGGUAACGGCCUACCAAGGCGACGAUGCGUAGCCGACCUGAGAGGGUGAUCGGCCACACUGGGACUGAGACACGGCCCAGACUCCUACGGGAGGCAGCAGUAGGGAAUCUUCCACAAUGGGCGAAAGCCUGAUGGAGCAACGCCGCGUGAGCGAAGAAGGUCUUCGGAUCGUAAAGCUCUGUUGUAAGGGAAGAACAAGUGCAGUAGUAACUGGCUGCACCUUGACGGUACCUUACUAGAAAGCCACGGCUAACUACGUGCCAGCAGCCGCGGUAAUACGUAGGUGGCAAGCGUUGUCCGGAAUUAUUGGGCGUAAAGCGCGCGCAGGCGGUCUUUUAAGUCUGAUGUGAAAGCCCCCGGCUUAACCGGGGAGGGUCAUUGGAAACUGGGAGACUUGAGUGCAGGAGAGGGAAGCGGAAUUCCAUGUGUAGCGGUGAAAAUGCGUANAGAUAUGGAGGANCACCAGUGGCGAAGGCGGCUUCCUGGCCUGUAACUGACGCUGAGGCGCGAAAGCGUGGGGAGCAAAACANGAUUAGAUACCCUGGUAGUCCACGCC